rnacentral:hammerhead_ribozyme from 1 species
AUACAGCUGACGAGUUCCAAACAGGACGAAACGCGCGUCCCGGAU